rnacentral:lncRNA from 1 species
GACUACUAAUACUAUCAUCUGGACUGUCACUCCGUUCCCCAACUCGUUCCAGCUAUAUUCUCAUUUCCUGAAGAGAACAGUGAAAGAAAUGGUGAGCCCAAUUAGCCCAGUAAGAAAUAUUAUGACUAAGAUAAUGCAGGAUAAAUUAUCAUUAGCCUUCAUCAAUGUUAAACUGAUAAAAUAUAAUAGACAUCAAGUUUAACUGCAGCAGAAAAAGCAAUCCAUUAAAAGAGUCAAGUAGAGAAUAAAAUCUACUAUCUUUUAUGAUUUAAAAAGGUUUUUUCAUCACUUUUUAUCGCUGAGACUCAGCUUAAUAAAUAAUCCACAUCGUCCCUGCACUACGGCCAAGGAUAUUCAUUAGGGUCAUAACCACAAAUUAUCCAUACACUACCGGCCAAGGAUAUUCGUGUAUUCAUUAAUGGUCAUGAUCAUGCCAACAACUGUCCAUCAAUGCACUACGGGCCAAUGAGGACUUUUACCACAUCAUUUGUAACAUUACGUUCAUGAUUACACCGAAUAAUCCCUGGUCAUAAUCAUACCAAGUCCAUCUAUGCACUACAGGCCACAGAUGACUUUCAACAUAAUAUAAACAUGAGGAUGGUGACAAUGAUAUAAGAAUUCAAUAAAAACAAGUUCAAGAAUUAAUUUAACCAGGAACUAAUAACGUCCAAAUUGUCAACAUUAAACUUCUUUGUAGAUUAAAUUCAAGAAUGCUCAAAAGAAUAUUUCCAUGAAAAGAUACUGGAUAAAGCGCAAAUAUCAAGGAUAUUCCACUAAUUUCAUGGAGUAUAGAAGUCAAAACUUUAACCAACUAAGUAUAAUAAAGAAUGGAAUAACAAAAGAAAUCACCAGGCAUGCGAUAAACCGCACAGACAGGUUAUUCCAACAGAAUAAUAAAGACGGAACUAGGUCCGGUGUAAAACGCACAGACAUUAGUCGCAUACUCGGUUCAUCAUAUCCAUGAAGGCAGCAGAAACAUUAGUCAAUCCAAAAGACAUGACUAGAAAUUCAUAAUGCCCGUACCAAGUUCUGAAAGUCGUCUUUGGAAUGUCAUCGGUUCUAAUCUUCAAUUGGUGAUAUUCGGAACGAAGAUCAAUCUUUGAAAAGAAUUUGGCUCCUUGUAACUGGUCAAACAGGUCAUCAAUACGUGGCAAUGGGUACUUAUUUUUUAUGGUGACAUGGUUUAACUCCCGAUAAUCAAUACAAAGUCGCAUACUCUCAUCUUUCUUUUUCACGAAUAGAACAGGAGCACUCCAAGGAGAAGUACUAGGACGAAUGAAACCGAUGUCUAACAAUUCCUGUAGUUGGGUCUUUAACCCCUGAAGUUCAAUAGGAGCCAUUCGAUAUGGGGCUUUGGAAAUAGAUUUUGUACCAGGUUCAAGGUCGAUACAAAAUUCAAUUUCACGCUCUGGGGGUAGGCCAGGAAGUUCAUCAGGGAAUACGUCAGGAAAUUCAUUAACAAUAGAAAUUCAUCAAUUUUUUCAUGAUGAGUAGUUAACCAAUCAAUCCCUAGAAUUACGUCAAAUGCAAGUAUUUUCAAUGAAAUAAGAUCGACAGGUAAUGUGAGGGUACCGAUUUGAAAACAAGACUUGUAAACAGUGGAUGUAAUGAAGGUUUCUCCCAAUGGAGUUUCAACAGAUAAGUCAAAGUCCAAUUUCUCCGGAGUCAAAUUUAAACGUUGAGCGCAAGUAGGAGAAAUAAAAGAAUGGGUAGAACCGGUAUCAAAUAAGGUAUAUACUUCGCUAGAGUUUAUGAUAAGCUUACCCGUGAUGACCUCGUUCGGGUUCCUUGCUUUCUGGGAGGUCACGACAAACGCUCUCCCUUGAACUACUUGUUUUGUCUUGUCUGGGACGGCCUUUGAUGCCUCCAUCCCAGCUGGACUUGACUUUGGUGCACGACAAAAUCGGGCUAGGUGACCUUCUCUUCCACAAUUAUAACAUGCUUUGGACGGCAUCGCGCAGUUUGGACUGAUGUGUCCCUCCCCUCCGCAUUUGAAGCAUAUGAUAGGUGGUCGUUCUCCUUCCUUAACAACGGGUGCUGGUGCUGACGUCUUUCCAUCAUUGUUGAAUCUCCUCUUCUUGAAAUGUCCAUUCUUAUUGUUUUGGCCAUGAUUACCACCGAAGUGGUUACCAUUUCUGGCAUGUUGAUUCCCUCCACGCUUAUUGCCACCGCUUCGAUGACUGUUAUCACGAGUUUUAUCAUUUUGCUGGCUGCUCUCUUUUAGUUGGGUUGACUCAUUAUCGCGCUCCAAUAACUGAGCCCUAUUAACAACAUCUGAAUACAAACACAAUUUAUGAGAGAUAAGGAUUUCUCCCUAUUGGCGCGCAAUUAGGUGACCAAACCUCUCCUUGACAGAACUUCUAGACAUUGUAAAUAUUACAAUUUCAUAAUAUGAAUAACUUUGUCGUCUCAAUUAUUGAUUUAAUAAUAUAUCAUAUAAUGCAAAUGAUACUGUGACAAUAAUCGAAUCAAUAAUAUGAGAGAUAUGAUGCAACAAUUACUAUAGCAAUAAUUGAGUAUAACUGAGUGACUUCUCACGUAAGCAUCAAUAAUCAAUACUGUGUGCUACUAUGCAACCACGCGUAUUACUGUACUUUUACUACCGAGUAGUUCAAUAGUAUUAACGGUAAAACUUCCGCCGUUAUUUUCAUAAAAAUAUUUUUGUCGUUUUCUCAAUUCGACAAUAAUUCUGUUGUGGGGUCCACCAAUGAUUGCGCCGUUGUACGAAUAUUCUCUGUUAAAACGAAUAUUCCCCGACCAAUCGAAUUUAAUAUAACAACUAGCAUACUUUGCAGAAUUUAUAAAUACUACCCACAACUAUAACAUUAUAACAUUAUAACAAAUUCAUUCCAUAAUAUUCAAAAAUAAUAAUUAUAGAAAAAUCAUCUUUAUUCAUAAAAGUUGGGGUCUUACAAAGCUCCCUAAUCAUAUUAGGGAUAAUUAAUUAAACUUUUUAAAUUAAUUUACUUCCUAAUCUUAUUAGGAAUAAAUGAGAGUACUUAUAUUAAAUUAUUUUUCAAACUCCUUUAAAAAUUAAAAUAAUAAUAAUUGUAAUAAUAUUAAUAAGAGUCCUUUUAUUAAUUUGUAUUUAAUAUUUUCAAAAUAUUAAAUAAUAAAUUUUAAGCUAUUUAAUUUAUUUUAUCACCAUAGAUUAAAUUAAAUAUACUUAACAUAUUAUUACGAUUAUCCCAUUAACUUCUUAAAUAAUUAUUCUUCCUUUUAUGGUGUGACCCUUUAGGUUAUCCAUAUUAAAUCGGUUGUGAAUAAAUCAAUUAGAAUAAUUCUAAUCUUAUUUAAAUAAAUAAAUUAAACUAGUAAUUAUUCUAAAAUAAGGAUAAGCCUCCUUAGAUAUCAAUGACUUUGCAGAUAAUAUAAAUUUUAACAUUAAUCAUAAGACAAUGUCCAAAUUCAAUCCUUCCACCAUACAAUGUCCCGAUUAAAUAUAAGACAUGAAAUUUCUGUCAACUCUUAUUUUAUUUAAUUAUAGGUAUAUCGAUUCCCAAAUGCACAACUCCUAAUGAAUGUAAAUUAGAAACUCUUUUCUAAUUUCAUUCCACCUUGGCCAAGGAUUUCUGGAUUGUCAUUUAUCGAAUCACAUAGGACAUAUCUUUUCUUUUACUAGAAGCGGUAGAUUUUUUAUUGAUCAUUCAUUAUUUCCAUAUAUAACUUAUUACACCCCAAGCAUACCCUUUGAUAUAUCCUAAGGAUCUUAAGGAAUAAGUCAAACUAUAAUUCAUUAUACACAAGAUACUAUGAUGAUCUUAAGUCUAAGGAUCACUUGUACUACUAUCACUACAGGAAUUCCUAUUGACAUGCAAGUAAAACUCCAUUAGGUAUUCCUUAGCGAGCCACGUUCAGUGAACUUAUUCUCCAAUAAGCACCUAUGUACUUUCUUUAGUGUCUCCACACAAAUGAUCAUGAGAUCAAUAAUCCUCAUCCAAUAAGAAAGCAACGUAUGUACCAAUCUAUUUGGAUUCACUAAUCCCCUUUUUAGUAAUCCAUUGAUUAGGAACAUUUUAGUUUUUAAGCUAUUUAAGAAUUUAGAUCUCAUUAGCAUGAUCUCAUCAUGAUUCUAAAAGAAUUACUUAAAAAUAUGGGUUUAUCACAUAUUAUUAAAAUAGCUCCAUGUAGAUAAUUAAAUGCCUUUAGUAAAUAAAUGCUUUUAUUAAUAAAUAAAUAAGAUUGUUUGCAAAUUAUAUUCUUUAUCAUCAUACAUGAUUGGCUUGUAUGCAUACUACUUUCAAUUACAAUAAAAUAAGCAUAAAAAAUCAUACCUAUUAAAAGUUGUGCGAAACUAGGAGUAAAGAAGAAGAGGGAAGGAGAGGUGAAGGUGUACGUGGUGGCCAGAGGUAUGGCAGGAGAAGGGGAGCGUCGUUGGAGGUAUAGCAGGAGGGGGAGGGUCAAUGUAAUAGCCAAAAAUUCCUAGUCACUUUUUAAAUAGAUAUAUUAAUGAUAUUAAAAACUUUGUGACAUGUAUGGAAUGAUUAGGUAGUCAAAUAAAUAUGUGUACUGCAAUUAUAUAUAUACGUUUAUUUAUUCUAUAAAGAAAAUUAAAAAUGAAGGUUUUAUAACCUAAUUAUACAUUAGGUAUAAAAAUUUAAAUAACCUUAGGGUUAUGGUGUGGAAAAAUAAUAGUAUUUAAAAUUAUACUAAUUUAAGAUAUUUAUUUUACUAUCUCAAUUUAUUAAUUUUAUAACUUAAUUAAAUCAAGUCUAAUUGGGUUAUACAAUUUAAUGUAUAGUUAGAGUAAUGAUUUAAAUUCCAAAUGAGUGGAAUGAAAACCCUAAUUUAAUGGUUAGGAUAAGAUAAAAUUAAAGGCAUUGGACUAUGUAAAUUCCAUGGCCCAAAUAAUUAAUUUAAAAGCCCAAAAGAAUUUAAUUAAAGCCCAAACUUUUAGCCCAAUUGAAGAGGUUAAAUUAAUCAAAUAUUACAUUAAAAGAAGACAAAAAUAUGGGAGAAAAGCGCCACAUGGCCGACCAAAAGAGAAGGAAGAAAGGGGGGAUGAAUUUAAUUAUUUCUAAGUUACUUAUUUCUAAAGUCUUUACCAACUCCUUACCAAACCACCCUAUGUGUCAAGCUUCCAAUCAAGCUAACACUUUUUACUAAGCUUACAAGUAAUCAUAUACUAAAUGAGAGAGAGAAAAAGAUAGAGUGUUGGUCAAAGUAAUGACAUAUAUAUGAUAUAACUAUAUUUUCUUCCAAACAACUAGAAAUUUUAUUUUUCUUUCUCCUUCUCUUCAUUUGCAACUUAGAUAGCAAAAUUAGAAAGGGAAAAGAGAGAGAUUUUUAGGUGGACGAGGGAAGAAGAGAGAGAAUAGCUUGGAUCCUUAUGCAUCUUAGAUGCAUUACCUAUUUUGGAAAAGAAAGAAGAGUAGCUAACAGAUCAAGGUAUAAACCCUAAUUUUAAAGCUUUCAUUUUCAUUUCUUUUGGUUGUUUAAUGGAAUAUGGAGUUUAUGUUUUUCAACUUAAAAACUAUAGAUCUAUAUGAUUUACAGUGUUACAUGUUUAGAUCUUACUUAUUUGAGUGUUUAAAAGUUGAUCAAAAGGAGAGAAAUGAAAACUAUGUUCAAGAAAUUGAGAAAACCCUAACUUUCUCUUCCUUUGAUCAACUACCGUUUUAGAUCUACACUUUUUUUGGGAUUCGUCUAAGAGGGGUGCUAGAUAUGUAAGUUAGCUACUAAACUCAAGUGGUAGCACUCAAAUAUGUGAACUACAUAUCAAAUAGCAGCUGUUUUGGUCGGAACUGUCCUGCUAGCAAAGUAUAAGAAAUGGACACAAAUAAACCCCUGGCUAGUUUGGUCUAAGGGCAUUUUUGUCCACUUUUUUUGUUUUAAAAUUUUGAAAACUUUUGGGGUGUUAAUAUGAUGAGUUAACGGAGUUCUGUAAAAAGAUAGGAAUUUUUGGAUGUAUAGAAUGGAAGAAAUGGAUUUUACGAGAAAUUACUAUUUUAAAAAGUAAACUUAAAUAACUCUUUGUGGUUAACUCUAAAAAUUGUGAUAUAUUUACAAGGACUAUAUAUGUAUGAAACAUAGCCUGAAAAUUUCAAAAUUGUUGGAGAAGAACUAAAUUUAUGAAAAAUGCUGUAGUAUUUGGCUUUUUUAGACUAUUUAAAAAUAGUAAAUGACUUUCAAAAAUUCCAGGAAAAAUAUAUUUUCAUAAGGGGACCAUAUUAUGAUGAUUUCUAAAAAAUAAAUAUUUUUGGAGAUGUUUUGGUAUUUUUCAUAUGAAUGAUGAUGUUAUGGAUAAAUGAGUAAAAUUAAUUAUGUGAUGUUGAAAAAUAGGAAAAUAGGAUAUUAUGGCUUGAAAACCCAAUAGAAGAUAUAUGCAAAUUUUUGAUGGGGGGUUUUGGGUCAUUUGUGAUGAGAUAGUAUUGUUAUGCCAUUUUAAGAUGAUUAAAUGAAUUAAUUAGUAAAGUGUGAACAAUUAUAAUAAAUUAUUUAUUAAUUUAAUAAAUUAUUUAUUGAUUUAAUAAAUUAUUAAAAGAUUAAUAAUAUUAUAUUAAAAUAUAAUUAAUAAUAUUAGACUAAAAUAUUAUUAAAAGAUUAAUAUUAUUAAGUAAUUAAUAAUAUUAAAAAGAAAGAUUAAAAUGAAUAAUAUAAAGGAGUAAAGUUAUCUAUAUAAUAAAUCAGGACCAAAUUUGAAUCUAAAGCACAAUAGCGGUUUAGAUUGAAUCUCAGUUUUUACAACUUAAUACAACGGCUAACCUUUCAUUUCACAAUAAAAGAACCGCCCAAAUCAAAUCCUCCUUACACGCCUUACACCUCUGCUCUGCUCCUUCUUAUUUCGUCUUCUCCUUCCUCCAAAUCCUCUGCACCGCCAUUCUUGCUAUCCUCCAAAUCCUCAGAACCGUCUUCUGUUUCUUUAAAGUUCCCUCUGUCCAAAUUUCCCAAAAACUUUAAACUUCUAGCAACGAGGAGGAAAUUGAGGCUUCCAAGUUUUGGAAAAAAAAACCCCAAGACUUCCCAAAAACUUCUCCCCUUGAAAUCAAACAUCAAAAAUUUUAGGUCUCUGUCUCAAAUGAUUUAGGUCUCUAUUUAAACUUUUCAUCCAGUUCUUCCACAGAUGAUCGAGGAGGAAAUCGGAAUUGGGACUUUAUAGCUGGUCACCCAUAGCAAGGUAAGUUCCACAGAUUUUCAUUUUUUUUCAAGGGUUGGGGAUUGGGGAUUUUCAGAUUUGAAGAAGAUUGCGUCGCGCUAAUUGUAUAGCUCAUAAGAUGCUUGAAUGACUUGAUUUUUCCUGUGGUUUAGAAUUUUAAUCGGUUUUGAGUGUGUUGAUAUGCACACUGAGCUUCUUUAGGCUUAAAAGAAGUCAUUACCAAGCAGUUUCACACCUAAUUGUGGAAAAAUAGAAUGUGCUUGCAAUUAGUAGAUUUUGAACUACUAUGUCAUGGAAAAAUUUCACCACUUGACGAACUUUGAAAUUAUAGUAACUAUUACGAGGUGUUUAAUAAUAACUUCUUGUUUUUUAUGGAGCCUAAGAAUGAAAUUAAACUUUUUGUUGAUCAGAUGUGGGCUGUUAGAAGCAUUUUUUAAUCUACUAUUUCAUCAUACGUACAGCUUUAAUUUUGUUUUACCAGAACUGUAAACGUUAUUUGUAUAAUUUUACGGUUGUUGAUUUUGGACCUUGAUUAGUUACUAUAAUGUUGUGUCUUUUGUGGUUGUUGAAUAUUUUUUGCCCAUUAUUUUGCAAUCAUAGUUGAAUAAAGGGAUAUGUAGUGUGGAAAUUUUGAAUGAAUGAAAUGUGAUAUCAGAUUUUAUAUUUUGUAUGUGAUCUUUGUAUUUGCAAUUGGAUAUUUGGCCCCUGGCCAUGAUAUGUAGUGUGGAGCCAUGAUCUUUUUAUAUUUAGAUUUUAUAUUUUAUAUGCGUAUUAUUCUAGGUCCCCUGGCCAUGAUACACAACAAUGCUGGUCUCUAAAACACAAGAUACAUGACAUGAUAGAUAGUGGUGAGAUUGUGGUAUCAACACUCGAAUAGCCACACGUCUAGGAUAAUCCUCUUCCUCAACAUAAUGAGGAAGGAGUGAACAUGAUUAGUAUUGGGAAUGGAGAAAAUUCUAAGUACCUUAAAUACAUCAAAGAGCCAUUACAACCAAGUGAAGGUAACCCCUCCAGGUUCAGUUAUUUAGAAGGAUGGUAUUUGAUAGAGAAGAGCUAAAAUUCAUCAAAGAACAGAUUGAUUAAUUGGCAAUGUAAAUGAUAUAAGACUAAGUAACUCAGCAGCUGAUAAGCCAGAUCAGCUAGAGGCAAACAAACAUUCCUCCACCUAGAAUCCUCCGAAUUGCAAAGAAAGAUCAUUAUCAAUUUCAAAAACAUAAAAUAUGGGUGGAUAAAUAUAGACACUUGAAAUUGUGUUUUUCUAUUACUAACUAUGCAGGAGGGUAAAAUUAUCUUUUUCCUCACUCUGGAGAUAAUCCUAGAGGAUCACACAUUCACUCUGGAGACAACCCCAUAAAAUUAUAUCAAAUCAAAUCCCGAAAAUAGCUUCAGGGGAAUAUCAGAUCAACCUCAGAGACAACCCCGAGGAAGAACAAAAUCGGCUGUAAUUGUUGCCUCUUUUUCAGUUUUGAUAAAAGAGCUCUAACUCAUGCAAGCAUACAUGUGUCAACAAGUAAUAUAGAGUAAGUAAAGUAUCGAUCCCACAGAAAAAGUUGUCAAAUUUAAACUACUAUGCAUCACUUAAAUCACUAUACUUAUAUGCUUAAACUAAUAACUAUAAUUGGUGAAUUAAUCUAAUUGCAAAUAACAACUAAAACAAGAAUAAUAAUGGAAUAAACCAAAUCUGGAAAUAAUGGGAUCCUAACUUCAUUCAAUAUUUCAUCUAAUUAUCACUAUCAUGCAAGAAUUGUUCACAUAUCACAGAAAAGUAGCCAAGAGCACUAAUAGAGUCAUAGCCAUUUUUUAAUGCACUAAGACCUACUUACACAGCAUCCACAAAUGAUAAACUUCAUGUAAUCAUCAAUAUAACCAAAAUCACUAUAUGUCUAUGUGAAAUUACAAUCAUAUUGAAUUUAAGCAUAAGCUCUUAUUUUAACUCAUACGGUGAAACAGUGUAUGUCUAUCUGGUUCACGAAAUACACAAGCCAUAUAAAACAGCCCCAUAUACAUAUGCUAUCAUGAUUACAAUCCAUACUUGUGACGCCCACAAAAUAGGUAUACAUCACCCAUCUUGAGUCGCCAGAAAAUACACUAUAAAAAUCAUUUACAACUUCAUUUAUACAACUGUCGUGCAAAAUACGAUGACAUGUAUACUGUGAGUUUAAAUACAAAUACAUAUACCAACUCUGACUCAUGUUACAAUUUCACCUUACAUAAAGCUAGUCGCUACUAAUUUCAAUAAAUUUCGACAAAAUUUCCUUUAAAAAUUGAUAUCCAAAAAAAUCUAAACAUGUCUACAACACUUACAAUCAUCAAUAAAUAUUCAAACCACCAAAACAACCAUCAUUCCAUACCCAAAAUCAUCAUAACCAUGUUAACUUUACAAAAGACGGAAUACAAAAAAUAUACACAUGCUGAAAAUAGAGAAACAGCUUCGUAUUCUUUACAGCUUAUACCAAGUAUCCUUCAAUGUAUACAUGAAAAUACCUGAAAAUAUAUGAUCAUAAAACUUACAGAGUUUGAUUGAUGAAAACUUAUAAUGAGAGUGGAUAUAUAUCACAUCUUAUGUGACGCCCCCAAAAUAGGUAUACACGACCCAUUCUGAGUCGUCAGAUAUCACACUAUAAAAAUUAAAUACAAACUUCAUGUAUACAACUGUUGAACUGUCGUAUAGAAUACGACCAUAGUUAAUCUGUGAGUUUUAAUACAAUAUUAUCUCGUAGACAGUAUCCAAACUCAAAUUGUUACAAUGCCAUAUAAAAUACAGCAGCAAAAAAUUUAAGACCCCAAAGAAGAACGAGAAGAUUACUAUCAUAUUCAUUCUAAUGAGGUGCACUUUUGACGCUUUCAAAGUCGGGUUCUCAUCACCCUAUUGUUGUUCGCCAAAAUCAAUUAUUAAGUGACGUAUAAAAUAAGACACACACAUCUUAGGUCCUCAAUACAAUUAUCUGUUGCAUGUCAUGCCGUUUUAUAAUGUAUUAAGAAACUUUGACAGUCUCGGACCAUCACACUAUUUCCUUGUUAUCUCCGCUCGACCCAGCUACACUCUUAUUACCUGAAAGGAAUUGUGAAGCAAAAAGGGUGAGCACAACUAGCCUAGUAAAGAAUAUCAUGACUAAAGAUAAUUAAAUUAUCAAUAGCUUUCAUCAAUAAUAAAUCAGAGAUUUAGAACAUAUGGUAGAUGAUAAAACUUUUCAACCAUAAUUGCAGCGGAACGAACAAUCCCUUAGAAGAGUCAAAUAGACCAUCGGAUCUAUUAUCUUCUCUAUGUUAAAAGUCCACCGAUAAUGUUUUAUCCCUGUAACAUCAAUAAACAAUUCUUGUCCACAAUCAUAUGAAUAACUCAUAAUCAUAAUCGUGGUUCUAAAUUCCUCUUCGCACCCAGGACGAAGAUAAUUUUCAUCACCUAUCUUUACCUAAAACAUCAAAAAUCAUGGUUAUACCAAAUCACAAUUUAUACUCAUAAUCAUACUAAUUAAAUCAUCUUUGCACUACGGCUAAAAAUAUUCAUUAUUAUCACAUCUAUGAAUUAAUAUUUCAUUGCUGAAACUCAGCUCAAUAAUUAAUCCACAUCAUCAAUUCAUCCCUGCACUACAGGCCAAGGAUAUUCUUUAGUAUCACGACCAUGAAUUAUCCAUGCACUACGGGCCAAAGAUAAUCGUGUUUUCAUCAACGGUCCUGAUCAUGCCAUAAAAAAAUUCAUCUUUGCACCCUUGGCCGAAGAAAAUCCAUAGUCAUAAUCAUACCAAAAACUGUCCAUCAAUGCACUACGGCCAAUGAGGACUUUUUUCACAUCAUUUGUAACAUUACGGUCAUGAUUAUACCGAAUAAUCCCUGGUCAUAAUCAUACCAAGUCCAUCUUUGCACUACAUGCCACAAAUGACUUUCAACAUAAUAUAUAUAUGAGAAUGAUGACAAUGAUAUAAGUAUUAAUCAAACGAAAACAAGGAUAAAUAUUAAAGACUUUAAAUUUAUCCAAAUAUUAUCAACCACUCAUAAUCUAAUAUUAUUAAUAUCAUAACAAUAUUUUAAUUACUUCUUAAACUUAUAAACAAUUUAUUUCAAUUGUUUACACUUUACCAAAUAAUGCAUUUAAUCAUUCAAAAAAUGUCAUACUCAUCAAAUUUCAUUUCCAAUGAUCAAAUCCCUUAUCAAAAAUUUGCAUAUACCUUAUAUAGGAUUUCCAAGUCAUAAAAUCCUAUUUUUCAAUUUUGUUACAUUACAUAACAUAUUUAACUCAUAUACUCAUAACUAGUGCAUUUUCAUAAAAAAUACCAAAUCAGUCCCAAAAAUAUUUCUUUUCUGGGAUUUAGCAGAAUAUAGUCCCAUAUUGAACAUAUAUUUUUCUCAGAAUUUUUAAAAUUCAUUUACUAUUUUUCAAAUAUCAAUUUCUAAUUAAUUCCUUAAGAAAUUAGCUACCUCAAGUUUAACUCCAGAAAUUCUCAAAUCUUGGCAGGAUCUUACACAUGUUAACGUGAGCUUCCAGUUUAAAUUUCAUGGUCAUCGGAGUUAUAGAACUCCGGUUAUAGCGUUUUUCGUCGGAAAAACCUAAAUAUUGAAAUAGUCAUAACUUGCUCAUUUUAAGUCGGAAUAAGCUCAUUUUUGGACAGGAGGUACUUUACAGCAUAUAUUUUCAUGUCCCAAAAGGCCGGAAUUUUUCUCACAAUUUAAGUGGCCGAAAAUGCCCUUUUAAAAUUUUGGACAGUAGCUUUUUUGGAAAUUUCAGUUUUUGAUUCCUUUGCUAAAAUCAGUCCACACGAAAAUCUACAACACCUUUUUCAGUGAUUCCACGUGGAUAAGUUAGGAAACUCAUAGGUCUAACUCUAUAACUUGACCACACUCAAAAAUUCGAAACAUAAUAAGAGAUAUGGUCAAUUGAAUUUCAUGUUCCAUUUUCACCAAAAUCUGAUUUUUCAACCGUUUGUGAUUUCUAAGAAACUUUCAUGUUUUCACAUAAUAACCAACAUAACUCAUCAUAACACUUACUAAUACCACAUAUACCCAUGAUUUUCAUCAGUCCAAUGCUUUUAUUAUGACUUUCAUUAUAAUCCUCGUAAACAGAUCAUUUCCACAAUUUAAUAAGGAAUGAAUAUAAAGGAUCAUUCACCAUGCAUGUGGUAAUCCACAUAGACAGAUUAUUCCAACAGAAUAAUAAAGAAUGGAAUAACAGAAGAAUUCACCAUGCAUGCGAUAGACCGCACAGACAGGUUAUUCUCGACAAAAUAAUAAAUAAUGGAACCAGGUCCGGCGUAAACGCACAGACAGGAUAUUCCGACAGAAUAAUAAAUAAUGGAAUAAUAACAAAUAUCACCAUGCAUGAGAUAGACCGCACAGACAGGUUAUUCCAACAGAAUAAUAAUUAAUGAAACCAGGUCAGGCGUAAUACGCACCAACAAGAUAUUCUAACAGAAUAAUAAAGAAUUGAAUAAGAGAAGAAUUUCAUCAUGUGUGUGAUACUUCGCAUAAACAGGUUAUUCCAACAUAAUAGUAAAGAAUAGAAUAACAGAAGUUCUCUUCAUAAAUACAAAAAAAAUAAUACCCCUUACGGGUACAACAAAUAAUAUCACUUAACUUUGAAAGAAGAGUAUUCCCACUGGUAGGGCGAGGAUAUACUCGAAAAAAACUUGCACUACGCUCAAAGCUUUCUUAAACUCUAAAGAAAUACGCUCAAAAUUAUAUAAGAAGAAUUCUUUCUAUAGUUUCUCUCUCUAGAGUUUCAGUGAAUUCGUAAGAAAUAAAGAAGGAAUGAGCUUCUAUUUAUAGGAGAAUGGACUGCAUAAUAACUAAUUCAUGAACGAUCCAGAUUGAUUUACUUUUAAACGGACGGUCCAUAUUGAUUUAAUAAAAUAUUCUAAUAAAAUAAAAAUUUUUAAAUAAAAUAUAAUAUAUUCUAUUUAUAAUCUAAUAAAACGAAUAAUUUUAUAAAAGUAUUCUGUUUUAUAUAAAAAGAUUUUACUAUGCAAAAUACUAUGCAGACACUAUGCAAUACUAUGCAUAAUAAAAUAUAAUAUAUUCUAAUUAUUGUCUAAUAAAACAAAUAACUUUAUAAAAGUAUUCUGUUUUAUAUAAAAAAAAUUUACUAUGCAAAAUACUAUGCAUAAUAAAUAUUAUAUAUUCUAUUUAUAGUCUAAUAAAACGAAUAAUUUUAUAAAAGUAUUCUGUUUUAUAUAAAAAGUUUUUCUGUUUUAUUACAUUAAUAAUACUAAUAAAACAAAACUGAGUGACUUCUCACGUAAGCAUUAAUAAUCAAUACCGUGUACUACUAUGCAACCACGCGUAUUACUGUACUUUUACUACCGAGUAGUUCAACAGUNNNNNNNNNNNNNNNNNNNNNNNNNNNNNNNNNNNNNNNNNNNNNNNNNNNNNNNNNNNNNNNNNNNNNNNNNNNNNNNNNNNNNNNNNNNNNNNNNNNNNNNNNNNNNNNNNNNNNNNNNNNNNNNNNNNNNNNNNNNNNNNNNNNNNNNNNNNNNNNNNNNNNNNNNNNNNNNNNNNNNNNNNNNNNNNNNNNNNNNNNNNNNNNNNNNNNNNNNNNNNNNNNNNNNNNNNNNNNNNNNNNNNNNNNNNNNNNNNNNNNNNNNNNNNNNNNNNNNNNNNNNNNNNUUACUUUGCAAAAUUUUCACAUAUCACCCUUAACUUUAAACUUUUAUCAAUUUAACUAUUUACCAAAAUAGAAAAAUUGAAUACUUUUAUUUCAUAAAAUUCGGGGUCUCACAGCUUACAACUUUCAGAAAUAUAUAAACAUGGCUUCGCUAUAAUCACAGCUGGUCCUGAGUUUUUUAAGGCCCAGUACAAAUUUUUUUAAGUGUGCCCCUUUAUAUAAAUAAAAUAAAUAAAUAAAUAAAUUAUCAACUAAUAAUUUUAUUAAAAUUAUAAGAAUUUACAAAAGAUAAGGAAGAACAUUUUAAAAUGUCAUCGAAGCAAAGAAUCAUCACAUGUACGUACAAAAUAAAAAUAUUAAUGAAAUCGAUAAAAUUAAUGAAAUACCCAUUGUAGUUGGCAAGUUUUACUGAUUACACAAUUUAACUUUUAAUUUUUCAAAUUACCCCACUAAACUAAUUAUUAUUUUGAAAUUGGGUUAUUCCGUUAAAAAAAAUAAACGGACGUUAAUUUUUAUCUACAAAACUAAUGUACCCACUGUAGUUGGCACGUUUUACUGAUUACGCCAUGGAACUUUUAAUUUUUCAGAUUACCCCAUUAAACUAAUUAAAAAAUGAUUAUUUUAAAUAUUUUUAAAAAUAAUUAUUAUUUUCAGUAAAAAAUUAUUAGAAACUUUAAUUUUUUUUUUCCAUAAAAUGAGUAAAGUUUCAUAAAAUAUAGAUUUAAAAAAAUUAAAAUUUUAUGAAACCAUAUUGAUUUUAAAAAAAUCUUUUUUUUCUUUUGAAAAUAAAGUUUAUUUUUUGAAUCUAUAUUUUAUAAAAUUUUACUCAAUUUUUAAAAAUAUGAAGAAUUUUCCAAUUUUUUUCUUGAAAAUAAUAUUUAUUUAUAAAAAUUAAUAAUUUAUUUUUUGAAAAAAUUAAAUCAGUUUUUUUAUUUAUCUUUUACUAUUUUUUUUUAUUAAUAUUUUUAGGUUUUUUAAAAAAUUUCUAAUAUUAAAAAUAGGUCAUUCUGUUAAAAAAUUAAGUAGACAUUAAUUUUAAAUCACUUUAAUUUUUUUUAAUCUAUAUUUUAUGAAACUCUACUCAUUUUAUGAAGGAAAAAAGUUUCUAAUAUUUUUUACCUAAAAUAAUAAUUAUUUUUAAAAAUAUUUAAAAUAAUUACUUUUAAUUAGUUUGAUAAUUUAAAAAAUUAAAAGUUUAAUGGUGUAAUCAGUAAAAUGUGCUAACUACAAUAGGUAAUUAAUUAAUUUUGUAGAUAAAAAAAUAACGUCCGUUUAUUUUUUUUAACGGAAUGACACAAUUUUAAAAUAAUAAUUAGUUUAGUGGUGUAAUUUGAAAAAUUAAAAGUUCAAUGAUGUAAUCAGUAAAACCUACCAACUACAGUAGGUGUUUCUUUAGUUUUGACCAAUGAAAUCUAAACCACAAAACAUUAUUUAAAAUGUCUUUUUGUUGCACUUUUAGGUGCAAAAUCAUCAAUUAUACUAUUAUAUUUAAUAUUUCAUAUCAUUUUUAAUGUAUAAUAUCCCUAAUCUUUUUAUUAUUUUAUUUUUUUAUACACAUAAAUACAUAAACUUAUAAAAAAAUUGGGCCCCUUCAACUGUGGGCCCUGGGCGGUAGCCCUGGUGGCCCUUGCCCAGGGCCGGCUCUGACCAUAAUUAAAAUACCAAUAAUAUAUUAACCAAUUAAAAUUCAAUUCCCAAAUUACGUUAAAUCUCAUCACCCAAAAAAAAAAUCAAAACUAUAUAUCCAAAAGGCAAAGAUUUAAAUAUAUUCAAAAGACAAAUAUUUAUUAAAUAUCCAAAACUAUAUAUACUACCUUAUUCCCAUAAUGAGGGUCCUAAGUCCUAAUUCAAAAAUCAAAGAUUUAAAUGUAUUCACCUUGAAGAACAUGUUUCCCUGCCUUCAGCAGCUUCAGAGACAUAACCACCUACAUAAUUUGGUUCUCGUGUUAACAAUAUCUUUGAUCAAACAAAUAAAACAACUGAAGAAGAUAUUCCGAUAAAUAAAAAUUAAAUAUUAAAUCCAAGAGUGAAGACCGCUACAAAAUAGAAAUCUGCUAAGGUGUGCUGAAGUAUCCUUCUAGAAAGGAAUUACAAUUUUAAUGAAUAUCAAAAUUGAAAACCUUUGUGUUACUAUUUUUGCUAACUUUAUAAUAGAUGUUUAUUUAUAAGAUGCUGAGUACGCUGUUACUCUAGAAAAAAUCUUACGAUGCGCUUUUAUUAGUAUGUUUUAUAAUUUUUCAUUCUUGUUUUGGUCGCUUUUAUUAGUAGGUUUUUAAAUUUUAGUGAUGCAAUGCAAAUAAUUAUAAAUCCAGUGACCGAAUGCAAGCUUCAGGGAAAGAUUAUUUAGUAGCAUAAUGAGCACAUUUUUUGAGUCUCAUGAAAUACAAGUCCUGGGAAGAAAUAAGAAAAGAUAAUAAUCAAGUAUCCACAAGUUUUGAACUUCUUGGUUUUGUCGACUCUUCUUUUCAUGGUUGAAGAGUAAAUGGAUCUGGCAAAUCCAGAAUACUUUCAAUUGGUAGAGGGCUCAGAUCAUCUCUUACUUCUUCAUUCCUAAAUCAAUUACUUGGGAACCUAAUUAACUACAUUGGAAAAUUAGUGAAAUUUGUUAGUCAAUGUGUAAUAUCAAAUAUACAUUAGCCAGGUCAGCUUGCAUUGACCGAAUGUUUUUAACUGAAUAUGAAUAUAGCAGGAAAUUUAAAUUAGAGAUUUUUCGUUGUUAUAUGGCUCCUCAUGGCUAAAUUUAACAAUCACCAGUUACCCCAGUGGAUUUAUUACAUGGUUUUAUUUUGAUGCAUUUAAUUGGUCUAUUAAGGGAUGUCAUCUAUUAAGGGCCAUAAUUGACGUGAUGUUUACCUUUCGUAUGAUGUCUUGGAGUCUCUUUCCAGAUAGAGUUGCUUGCUCCCUUUUAGAUGCACUGAUGCAACAUCUUUCAAGGUUCUAGCAUUUAAUUUUGUUUUAAUACUUUUUAGUUUCUAUUACUUUAGCUGCUUUGCAUUUGAUGAAUUUUAUCGUCACAUGUUUUCGUAUUUUAUAGGUUGAUCUUACUCUCUUUGGAUAAAUAUUCAAACUCCUUGUGAGGUGGCAAAAUGAUUGAAUUCAUAUAGUUGAAAAUCUUAAAAUUUCCAGAAUCGAUUUUAGAGCUGCUGAGGAUUUCCCUUUAAGAUUUAGUUCCUUUGAUACAUUUAGUACUUUUGAGCUUUUAGUUUUUCUUUUUUAAGAGACUGAAAAGUUCAGACCCACAGUUUGAAGGCUAGUAUUAACAUAAAAUAAACAGAAAAUGAGUAGAUAAAUUAAGUUCACGCAACAUUGAUAAUAACCUCGGAUCCUCAAGAUCUACAGUAAUUUAUACAUAAUCAAUCAUGUAUGAAGGCAUAUUAAUAUGCCAAAAAGGAAAACGAAAUCAUGAAAGAACAAACCCCAAAGUUUUCACGGAACUCUCCCAUAGCAAGCGAAAUUGAUACCAAAAAAGUAAGAAAUUCAGGUUGGAAACAUAAACCCAGAUACAAAUAAAACACAAUUUAUGAGUUAUAAAUAAGAAUUUAUCACUGCGUCAAUCGACACAAUCAAUAAAUUCAAAACCCAGAAAGGGGUUUUACAACGCAUACAAGUCUAUAAUAGACAGAGUGAGACUUACAGUGUUAACGAAGCAACUACAAAUACUACCUAUGUGAGAAUCAAUGGAGAUGGAGAUUAAAGGAUGUAAAAUAAACCUUAUUUCUAUAGCAGCAACAGUUCGAUCCGAUUUUCUCAACCCAAAGAAGAAAGAAAAAGAUAAAAUUCCUUUUCAUGGAGACAAUACGGGGAAUGGAAAAAAUAGAGCUUCUGUAGAAGUCCCUAAAUUGCAUCCAAUUUCUGUUUAUUUUGAUUAGGUUGUGCGUGUGUAAUAGUUAUUGGGGUAAUGUGUUU